AAAAACUUCCCAACAAAAAGUCUCAUUUUAGUAUUAAAAAAAUUUAGGUGAAAAGUCGACGAGUUCUCGGAGUCGCGACAAAGUUUUUUGGUGGUAGUCGAGAUUCAGUUGAAGGUUUGGGUCCUGUUUUUCUGCUCUGAAAUAGGUAAUAUCCCAUUCUAUUUAGUUUUUGAUUUUAUUUCUUUUUUUAUCUUGACGAUCUAUAGUUGUAAUGGCAUUUCGAAUAGCGUGUAUGCUGGAAUUGCUUGCUGUAGCGGCCUUGAAGGCAGUAGAUAUAAUUUGAUAAUAAUCUUGUUGUGAUGUUCCUAUACUUAUAAUCCUUUUCGUGUUGUUCCUAAGAUGUUGGAAUAUGUGUUUCAUUGCAUUUGUUUAGCUAUAUCUUUUCCUGUUGUUUGUCCUGCUAGAGUAUAAGAUCUCAACAAAAGUUUAAUUUCUUCCUUGAUUUGUCCUGUGAAUGUAAAAUAACUUAUCGAUCAAAAACUAUUUGAGUCAAGCUCUAUACCACGAUUUGUUUAACUACGUGGUUGAAAAAUUAUUUCUUGAUGAAAUUUUACACGACAUGUUCUUGAUUUGUUUCACUCAUAAUUUUUUUAUCGUCUUUGUUGUUGAAUGUUGUUAACAUUCUCUUGGCAUCGUAAUAGUGAUUUUGAUGUUCUAUUUUGAGUGUGUUAAUUUUCUUGUAGUCUAGCUAUGUGAAAGAAAAAUAAUGCAUUCUGAUACCCGGUGUAGUCUCAUAUUUUAUCUAAACAUUGUUUCAUAUAAAUGGACCCUUUUCUUCAAUCUUUCGUCUUCUUUUCUGAUUAUUUUAAAGAUCUUAUGGUUUUAUUACUCUCUAAUUUUCACUUAUCAGCUAAUGAUUUCAAUUUUAGUUUUCUUGAUGGGAUCAAAGUUUAACUAAUUAUUUUCAUCCUGAUGUCUUUAAAGAUUUGUUUAUUAUCACACGGUUGUUGUUUUCUCUGAUAAACUCUAUUUUAGUUUAAUCUUAACGCUUUAGUUCGAUAUUGAUUAUGUAGUUUAAUAUGUUAGUUCCUAUGUUGUUAUGUCGACUCACAACACAAUAUUGAAGUCCUUUCACCCGUCGUAUUAAGUAGUACAAACAUUAUUCGUUGUGAUUGAGAUCCAUGGGUUUUUUAAGUUUCACUAAUCCCUAGUUAAUCAACUGCAUGUUUAUUCAAGGUAGUAAUUCUUAUGAUAGGAGAUUCUUUUGGCUUACAAAUUUAUCAUUUUUUUGUUUGUUUGUGUUCUCGCAUGUAUAUAAACAUACAUAUAUUAAUUCUUUGUAUCUUUUCUUUGCAUGAACCCGCAUUCGAGUCCAAAUGGACUUUUUCUCAUUGUUGCAUUAUGGAUGUGGGCCAUUGAGACCCAUCUCAUUGAGUCAAGCCCAAAUAAAAAUCUAAAAGUGAUCCCAUGGCAUACAAAUAUGAGGAUUUAGAAGAAGGAAAAUGAAUUGAAGGCUUGAAGUAGUUAAAAGACUCUAAGAGUCCCAUUUUCCCUUAUUUAUUUAUUUAUUUUUCAAGUUAUUUAUCUAUUCAUUUAGCUGGGCCUCGAAGCCAAAGUUUUAAACUAAUGCAGGUGAAGCAGAUUUUGGGCCAAAAGGCUCAAAAAUAUAGUUUAGGACAGGUUAUGGGCCAAAGCCCAACAUCUAGAUUAGGAGAGGUGAAGUUCGGCCGAAAGUACAAUUAGACUAAGACAGGGUGAUGGAUUUGGGCUUAAGAGCCCAAAUCAUUUAUUUGCUUUGUGUUCUUGCGAAUCUAGUUAAACCCCUAACUAAGUCGCUAAAAAUUAGAUUUUGCAAAAAUUUUCAAAAUAUUUCUUUAUCAUCUUCUUUUCAACAAUCGACUUUUUCUUUUAGAAGUUAGUCAAAAUAAAUUAUUUUUCAAACAGUCUGGAUAACCGCAAGUUAACGGAUAUUUUGGUUCCUUAAAAACCUUCCUAAAUUAUUAAUUGGAACUGCUUACCUAGAGUCUCUAAAUUAAAUAAUUUUUCUGUUUGAAUCAUUUAAUGGUUUUAUUAAUUUUCCAAGAUAAAUUAAGUGGCGACUCUAAAAGUCAUAUUUUCCACAAAACACCCCGUCAUAUAGCUUGGUACUUGGUUUGUAAACCAAACACAUAAGGUGGUUUGGGUAUUAUUAAUUAUUUGGAACAAAGCUGCAGUAGGUAAGUAUGUCUGAAAUAUUGCCAAUAAGUCUAAUCUGCUCACUAGAGAUCGAUUAAAGAAAAUUGGAGUUAGUCAAAAUGUGGAAUAUCUUUUAUGAGGUACAUCAAAUGUGAUAAAUGAGCAUCUAUUCUUUCAUUGUGAAUUUUCCAAAACUUGUAUGGUACUUUUGUUACAGUGGGUAGGAGUGAAAACAUAAAAUAUGGAGUAUAAAAGAUUAGAAGGAAAGGGUGAAGGUAGGCUGAGUAGAGGUUUGUUAUGAGCGGUAGUGAUAGCUAGCAUUUAUCAAAUUUGGACAACACGUAAUAAAACAUUUUUGGAACAUAAGGUACCAAGACCAUAGACGAUAUGACAGCAAAUAUAGAUGGAGUGUAAUAUAAGAAUUCUACAUAUUUUAUAAAAGAGGAAGAUGUUCAAAGACAAAGCUUGAAAGAAAUGGUUAUUGUACGAAUAGGUACAUGGAGGACAAGUAGUAGAGGAGUUGGACUCAGUUUUGUAUUUGGUCGUUUUUGAUGUAUUUUUUUUUGUUGUGGAUGAGUAGGGAGAAAAUUGAAGGAAAGGUAUUGUUUAAGUCUUGAAUGAAGUAUUGGUGACAUUGACCAACUUAAAGGAUCAAACAUAAUUAGGAAACUUGAUUAAGUUAAUUAUGGACUUGAUUAAUAUUUUUAAAACUUUCUAAUUUUUUAAAAAAUACAAAUCAACCCACACCCCUCUUCUCUCUAAAUCAACCGUCUCUCAUCUCUCCCUCUCAACAGUUUCUUCCAUCAACAGUUUUGUAAAUUUCUCUUUUCAAUCCCCGGUGACUUCAAGCUCCGACGACAAAUAGUUGGGUUUCAUGUUCCUUUUUGACUUUCAACCAUCAAUCGAUGUUUCAGCCUUGCUCUCCGUCAAAAAUAUCUUCGAGUUCUUCAUCGUUCCUUUUCUUCUUUCAUAGGUAAAAAAUUAUUGGUUUUUUAGUUUUGAAGAAAAAGAGAAACUUGAGCCAACUUUUCUUCUAGUAUUGGUGAAUAAUUUCAAUAUUUGUUGCUUUAAUUUGAAAUGCGGUAUGAAUAAAACCCUAAUUUCUGGUAUUUAUUCUCUUCUCUUUUCGGAGUGAAUUAUGAAUUUUUAUUGUUUGAUGCAUUUUUUGAAGUUUGAUUUUUGUUGUUUGUGUUUGUACAAACAAAACAACAACAUUGGUAUUUUUGGUGUUGCGCCCGUUGCAGGGUUAAUUUGUUCUUGUCUUGGGUAAAAAUGGUGAUAUUAUUGUUGUUCUAUUAAACAAAAUCAUGCUACUAUUUUUUCUAUAAUAGAUUAACCUUCUGACGCAAUAGAUUAACCAUCUGAUGCAACAGAUUAUGCAUUUUAUGCAACAGAUUAACCAUCUGAUUCAACUAUCUGAUACAACAGAGGAACUAUCGAAUAAAAAUAUCUGAUGCAACAAAUUAACCAUCGAAUAAAAAAUUUGAUGCAACAAAUCUACCAUCAGAAUAAAAAUUUGAUACAACAGAUUAACCAUAUGAUGCAAUAGAUUUAACAUCUGAUAAAACAGAAGAACUAUCGAAUAAAAAGAUCUGAUGUAACAGAUUAACCAUUAGAUAAAAAAUUUGAUGCAAUAGAUUAACCAUCUGAUCCAACAAAUUUACCAUCAAAUUAAAAAUUUGAUGCAAUAGAUUAACCAUAUGAUGCAAUAGAUUUAACAUUGGAUGUAACAGAGGAACUGUUCGAGUAAAAAUCUAAUGCAACAGAUUAACAAUCUGAUGCAACAAAUUAAUCAUUUGAUGCAACAUAUUAAUCAUCUGAUUCAAUAGAUAAACCUUCUGUUGGAUAAAAUCCUAUCAACUAUUCCAAUAGGAUAUGUCCAAGACUUGAUUUUUCCAACUGAUCAUUCAUCUUCCGCGAUAGAUAACCUUUCUAUUGGAAAAAAUCUAAAUAAUAUUGAUUGUUGAUAACUUUUCCAAUAGAUCACUCAUAUGUAGCAAUAGAUGUAUGAUCUGGUGCACAGACCAUUCAUCUGUUUCAAUAGAUGAGUGAUCUAAUUUUAUUAUUGCAAUAGAUUACUCAUCUAUUGUAGCAAGUUGGUUAACUAUUAAUACGAGAAUAAUCAUAGAUAGGGAAUUAUGAGAGUGCGUUUUGAACCCGAGCCUUGGUGUGUGCAAUUGAAGUGUAAAAGAGGCCCAAAAUGCAAGUAAAACUGUCCAAACACCACACUUAAUCUACACUUGAUGGACGCUCUUAGUGGAGGGGCCUUUUGGUCAUUUUAGUUUCUAUUAUGUAAUGUACUAUAUAAGAAACAUUGUAAGGUUUCUUUAGUUAGAUUUUGAGAAUAUUGUAAGUCAUAAGACACAAAAGAACAUAAGUCCUCUCUCCUUUGAGGCACCAAACUGAAACUAGGUCAAGAACUUGUGGGAAUCACUAGUGAUUGAGUUUUACUUGGAAAAGUCGAUGCUUGAGAGGUAGAAUCUGAUCUUGUGUUACGUAAGAUAUAGGUCUUUGUUGUGUGUGGUGUUAAGGGUGCAAGAGUAGAAUAAUCGCUUGGGUUCUUAAGAUUCCAACCAUUGGUCGAUCUAUCUAUCCCUUUACUUUUAUUAUAAUUUUGUAGUGUUUCCUCUUGUUUAGUGUAAGUCAUGUAGGGCAUUGUUGUUGUUGUUGUUAAUCUUAUGGUUGUUUCAUCUUGUUAUCCUCCUUUUUAGUUUGUUUGAUCACUGAAAUAGGUGUCAAUACACCUUGAUAUCGUGUUGUUUCCAUUGUUUUUAUUCAACCCGAGACUUGGUCUCAUUUGGAGGUUCUCAAGUUUGGCUCUUUAGUGGAUUAUGUUGUGCAUUCCUUGUGUUUUCCAAGUUUAUAUCAUAUCAUUUUGGUAUCAGAUAAUGUCUUGAUAUUGUUUCUACAAGAUCAAUCUUGGGCUUGUUUGUUAGAAAAUCAAAAAAAAACUGUUGAAAAGCUGAAAAUUCCAAAAAAAAGUGCAAUCUAUCCAUUUUUGUUCUUGGCCGAGAAACUGUUGUUCUUGUUGUUGUAGUCUUGGAAAAAUUGUGGUGUCUUGAUCUAAGAGUUCUCUUGUUUGUUUUGUUGUUUCUAGCGUUAGUUUUCUUCUUCUCUAACACUCUAGAGUCUAGAUCUAAAAUUGAGCUUGAAUUGUUGAGAUUAUUGUUGUGAACAAGGCAUGACCGUGUAGUAGACAUUGUUAUUGAGAAAACUUUACUUGGCCGUGUGUUAUGGUUUUUGUUAUCUAAAGGAGUGUUAUUGUUCUUGAAAUUCUUCACAACUUUCAUCUCUUGUUUAAAACCGAAAUACAACACCAGGAGACUAGGCCAUUUGUUGGAGGUUUUGUAAUUGACCUUGUUGUUGUGGAAUUAUUGUUAUUCUUGGAGAUUGUCGUUUGAUGUUCUUAUUGUAGUUAUUUUGUUCUUGAAGUUCUUCAUCAUAUUCCUCACAUUGUUAAUAUUAAAGUGAAUUUAGAUCUUUAAAAGGAGAAAUACAAGGUGUAGAACUUGUUAAAUCUUGAAAGACUUACAACUACCAAGGACUUGUCAAUCACAUCUCACCAACUUUUCCAUAUUUCAAGGGCCUUGUUUUGUGGAACAAGUACAAGUCAAGUCUUGCCUUUUGAGUUUAGAUUUCAAGAGAGACUAUAAGACUUGUGUUUUCCCUCCAAAGUCAAUUUCUUCCAUUCCAAUUGUGUAAUGAUUAAAAUUUCAAGAAUAGUCAUUAAAAACUUAUGGGACCAUGGCCAAUAAGGAGGUGACACGUCAUAAAAUUACUAUUCACACGACAAAUUUUGGCUCAAAUUUUGAUUUUUUAGUUUCAUUUUGUGUCUUUAGUUUUGUUUGUUGAUUCCAAAUCUAACUUACAAGCUAGUACUAGAUUGAGAGUUAGUUUUGAAAUUGUUCUUCGUGUUAACUUUCCUUUGUAUGUCUUAAUUCUUUUGAGUCAUUGUAAUACAUCCUUGUGUGUUUUAAUUAGUCUUUGGAGUCAUUGUAAACGUUGUAUUCACCUCCCAAUACCUCUUGGAGUACAAGCAAGCUGACAACACUUGUGAGAUUAAGUGUGACGAAUCCGAGAGGCACAGAAAUAAAGAGAGAAUGUGAGGAUCUUUCUUGUACAACUAACUUGUUUGGUGUUUUGUAGGUAACUUCUUGGCUACAAUGGAUAACAAUGUUAUUAGUGCUAUCUUGGCUGGGAUUGAAACUCUCAACUAAAACAUGAUAAAAAUGUAAGCAGAUGUGACAACAUUUGGUGAGAAGUUGGAUCAUUUGGAGAAUAGGAUUUCUCGUGCUUUACUCUUCAACUCAAUGUUUCCUUAAGUGAGCAUGAACAAGACACUUCCACCACCGUUUCCCUCGAAGUUUCACACUAAACGAUCUUCCUACAAGACCAUCACCAAAUGACAUAGACAUAAGCUAAGCCGCCAAAUGUCCUCAAACCCGAGAACUACAUAGGUCAAUCCCUCCUCCAUUCAAUCAAGUCCAACAAAAAGGACUUGGAAGCUAAAUCUCUCCCGUCCAAGCUCCACAACUAAAGCCUUACUUUACCAAAUUAAUCCUCUCAAUGGAAACUCCACUUCACCAAAGCUGACAUAUCCAUGUAGAGGAGAAUGGUAGAAAGGAUCAUGACGGAUAUGGAGUCUACGAUAAUGCUUGUAUGAUGGUAGGAUACUUGUUUCGGAUGAGAUUAAAGACAAGGCUCAAGAUGGAGAAGAAGUCGAGGUUUAAAAUAAAAAUGUUAACCGAGACUUAUGUUAUUGAGCUCCCGGGUUCCUUAUAUUUUUAUGGACUAUUUUGGGCCAUAUUAUAUUUUGCGGGCUGUUUUGAGUGGCUUCUUUGAAGUGGCCAAUUGAACAAGGUAAAGCCAUGAAUUUAUGGACAAAUUCCUCUUAAGAUGAAGAGGAUGGUAUGAGACUAAUCAUAGAUAUAGACUUGUGAGAGUGUGUGUUGGACCCGAGCCUUGGUGUGUGCAAUUGAAGUGUAAAAGAGGCCCAAAAUGCACACUUAAACUAUCCAAACACCACACUUAAUCUACACUUGAUGGGCGCCCUUAGUGGAGGAGCCUUUUGGUCAUUUUAGUUCCUAUUAUGUAAUGUAAUAUAUAAGAAACAUUGUAGGGUUUCUUUAGUUAGAUUUUGGGAAUGUUGUAAGUUAUAAGACACAAAAGAACACAAGUCCUCUCUCCUUUAAGGCACCAAGUCGAAACUUGAUGAAGAACUAGUGCUGAAUCACUAGUGAUUGAGUUUUACUUGGAAACGUCGAUACUUAAGAGGUGAAAUCCGAUUUUGUGUCAUGUAAGAGAUAUUUUUUGUUUUGUGUGGUGUUAAGGGUCCAAGAGUGGAAUAAGCUCUUGGGUUCUUAAGAUUAUUCCAACCAUUGGUCUAUCUAUCUAUCCCUUUACUUUAAUUGUAAUCUUGUAGUGUUUCCUCUUGUUUAGUGUAAGCCGUGUGGGGCAUUGUUGUUGUUGUUGUUCAUAUUAUUGUUGUUUCAUCUUGUUAUCCUCCUUGUUAGUUUUUUGGCUUGUUGAAAUAGGUGUCAAUACACCUUGAUAUCGUGUUGUUUCCAUUGUUGUUGUUUAACCCAAGACUUGGUCUUAUUUGGGGGUUCUCGGGUUUGGCUAUUUAGUGGACUGUUUUGUGAAUUCCUUGUGCUUUCCAAGUUUAUAUUGUAUUAACUAUUCCAACAGAUCAAUCGUAUGUUACAAGAGAUGUGUGAUAUAUUGAACAGACCAUUUAUUUGUUUCAACAGAUGAGUGAUCUAUUUUUAUUGUUACAACAGAUUACUCAUUUGUUGCAAUAGGUUAGUUAUAUGUUGCAACAGAUAACCUACCUGGUGCAAUAGAUGUGUGAUAUAUUAGAACUGUUAUUUUACUGUUGUACAUGUUAGAUUUAUUGUUAUUCUUUUUUAACAAUGCAUUAUUCAAUUAUAAUCUAUUUUCUAUUCCUUUUAAUUUUAGAUAAUAUGGCUCCAGAAAGAAUAGAAACCGAAUUAAGUCCAACUAAAGAAACAAGUGAAGUAGCUAGGCUACAUCCACCACUCUAUAAUUUUUCUUUACAAGCGUUAUCUUAAUCAGGGGAAGAAAAUGGUGAACAUGGGGAGAAGGAAUGUUUUAAAAGAGAUGAUCCAAAUGCUAAUAUCCCUUCCACCGAAGACUUGGUCAAAACCUUUAGCAUUGAUAGUUAUUCUAUGAGAAUGCAGUGCGAUGGUGACACAGAUUUAACUUGUGAUUUCAUGGUUAAGUCAGCCAUGGAAAAAUCUUUGACACAUUCAGAAAAAUACUUCGAGAAAAAAAUUUGGAUGCUUAUUUCAGGGACAGCUACUUUAGGCAAUAUCUUUAUUUGCCGGAGGAAAAAAAAGCUCGUAUCCAAAUGAAAAUGGUAUACGAUUUUCUCAAGCAUAGGUUUAUAUAUGAAAAUAAAGAUAAGAUGGAUGAGGUAUGGAUAAAUUGUUGUGUCAUGCCUGUUUGUUUUGGUUGAAAAGAGUUUGCCAUAGUUACUGAACUAAAUGUUAUCCUCCCUCUCCUUCUCAAGUUAUACCUAUUCUAACCCAAAAAAGCACACCGCACACCCAAGCUUCAAAAACAAAAAUUUGAUAGAAGCGUUGAAAGGCAAAAAACUUUCAAAGAAGCACAAUAAAUCAUUGUGCUUGGUUUGGUUUGUACAUAAUAUUCUUUGGGCAAGAGAUUUUAACAACAACAUACCACUUGGUUUAAUAAAGCUCUUUAAGGAUCUUGAGGCAUUUAACAGCUAUACUUGGGGUUAUGAAAGUUUUAAAAUGGUUGUCAAAUAUUUGUUGACUCCGUUAACAUCAAAGACAGUCAACUAAUAUGGCUUUCCAUGGGCUUUCAUGGUAAAUAUUUCAUUUAUUAUGAUAUGAUUUAUUUUUUUAUUGAAUAAUACUUUUGAUUUAUUGGCAUUAUUUUAUAGGCUUGGGCGUUUGAAUCCAUUCCUUAAUUGAGACAAUAAGUGAACUACUAGGAAGAAGUUUCUUGUCCAAGAACUUGAGAUAAAUGUCGGUCAAAACUGAUAAAAAUGUAAAAUUUCUUGAUCUCUUCAACCCCUCGAAGGAUGUAGUAAGUCUAACUCUAAUUAAAUUUUUGUUUUAAUUAAUGAUAUUUUUAAAUGACCUCAUUAUCAUUCUAAUAUAUGUAUUGAUUUAUGUUAGAUUGUGCAUCCGUCGCUUGUUCCAACCAAUCGAGAGUUGAAGAUGCCAUUUUUUAUACUUUACGGUCUCUACAAAUUUUAUUGGACCCUAAGGUCAUUGACAGAAUAAAAAUGGAAUUAUUUGGAGCAAUAACCAUCAAAAGAAAGACAAUUUUGGAUGGUGGGCUUGUUGUUGUUGAUAGUGGUAGUGUAGUGGAGCUAUUGAUAGUGCUAGUAGUGCUGUUGUUGGGGCUAAUGAUGCUCCUCUUACAGUUUUUAAAAUAAACUAUUAUGAGUAUGAUCAUAUACAGAUUUUGCACCUCCUAACGAAUGUUCUACAUAAAAAUAUCGAGACUGCAAAUCGAAACAUGAUGUACUGAUUAAUGUUAUUAAUGCAUUAACUAUUGUAAGGGAAUUAA
rnacentral:lncRNA from 1 species